rnacentral:sRNA from 1 species
UCUGAAACGUCAGCCGUCUCGAUACGGCAGC